rnacentral:rRNA from 1 species
AUACGGAGGAUCCGAGCGUUAUCCGGAUUUAUUGGGUUUAAAGGGAGCGUAGGCGGACGCUUAAGUCAGUUGUGAAAGUUUGCGGCUCAACCGUAAAAUUGCAGUUGAUACUGGGUGUCUUGAGUACAGUAGAGGCAGGCGGAAUUCGUGGGGUAGCGGGGGAAUGCUUAGAUAUCACGAAGAACUCCGAUUGCGAAGGCAGCCUGCUGGACUGUAACUGACGCUGAUGCUCGAAAGUGUGGGUAUCAAACAGGAUUAGAUACCCUGGUAGUCCACACAGUAAACGAUGAAUACUCGCUGUUUGCGAUAUACAGUAAGCGGCCAAGCGAAAGCGUUAAGUAUUCCACCUGGGGAGUACGCCGGCAACGGUGAAACUCAAAUGAAUUGACGGGG